rnacentral:rRNA from 1 species
GUGGGAAAUCUGCCCUGCACUCCGGGACAAGCCUUGGAAACGAGGUCUAAUACCGGAUAUGACCUUCCUCUGCAUGGGGGUUGGUGGAAAGCUCCGGCGGUGCAGGAUGAUCCCGCGGCCUAUCAGCUUGUUGGUGGGGUAAUGGCCUACCAAGGCGACGACGGGUAGCCGGCCUGAGAGGGCGACCGGCCACACUGGGACUGAGACACGGCCCAGACUCCUACGGGAGGCAGCAGUGGGGAAUAUUGCACAAUGGGCGAAAGCCUGAUGCAGCGACGCCGCGUGAGGGAUGACGGCCUUCGGGUUGUAAACCUCUUUCAGCAGGGAAGAAGCGCAAGUGACGGUACCUGCAGAAGAAGCACCGGCUAACUACGUGCCAGCAGCCGCGGUAAUACGUAGGGUGCGAGCGUUGUC